rnacentral:rRNA from 1 species
UACGAAGGGGGCUAGCGUUGCUCGGAAUCACUGGGCGUAAAGCGCACGUAGGCGGCUUGUUAAGUCAGGGGUGAAAUCCUGGAGCUCAACUCCAGAACUGCCUUUGAUACUGAUGAGCUUGAGUUCGGGAGAGGUGAGUGGAACUGCGAGUGUAGAGGUGAAAUUCGUAGAUAUUCGCAAGAACACCAGUGGCGAAGGCGGCUCACUGGCCCGAUACUGACGCUGAGGCACGAAAGCGUGGGGGAGCAAACAGG